rnacentral:rRNA from 1 species
CGCGGCCUAUCAGCUUGUUGGUGAGGUAAUGGCUCACCAAGGCGACGACGGGCAGCCGGCCUGAGAGGGCGACCGGCCACACUGGGACUGAGACACGGCCCAGACUCCUACGGGAGGCAGCAGUGGGGAAUAUUGCACAAUGGGCGAAAGCCUGAUGCAGCGACGCCGCGUGAGGGAUGACGGCCUUCGGGUUGUAAACCUCUUUCAGCAGGGAAGAAGCGAAAGUGACGGUACCUGCAGAAGAAGCGCCGGCUAACUACGUGCCAGCAGCCGCGGUAAUACGUAGGGCGCAAGCGUUGUCCGGAAUUAUUGGGCGUAAAGAGCUCGUAGGCGGCUUGUCACGUCGGGUGUGAAAGCCCGGGGCUUAACCCCGGGUCUGCAUUCGAUACGGGCUAGCUAGAGUGUGGUAGGGGAGAUCGGAAUUCCUGGUGUAGCGGUGAAAUGCGCAGAUAUCAGGAGGAACACCGGUGGCGAAGGCGGAUCUCUGGGCCAUUACUGACGCUGAGGAGCGAAAGCGUGGGGAGCGAACAGGAUUAGAUACCCUGGUAGUCCACGCCGUAAACGGUGGGAACUAGGUGUUGGCGACAUUCCACGUCGUCGGCGCCGCAGCUAACGCAUUAAGUUCCCCGCCUGGGGAGUACGG